rnacentral:rRNA from 1 species
GAUGAACGCUGGCGGCGUGCCUAAUACAUGCAAGUCGAGCGAAUGACGAGGAGCUUGCUCCUCUGAUUUAGCGGCGGACGGGUGAGUAACACGUGGGUAACCUGCCUGUAAGACGGGGAUAACUACGGGAAACCGGAGCUAAUACCGGAUGAUAACGAGAAGCGCCUGCUUCUUUUUUGAAAGUCGGUUUCGGCUGACGCUUACAGAUGGUCCCGGGGCGCAUUAGCUAGUUGGUGAGGUAACGGCUCACCAAGGCGACGAUGCGUAGCCGACCGGAGAGGGUCAUCUGCCACACUUGGACUGAGACACGGCCCAGACUCCUACGGGAGGCAGCAGUAGGGAAUCUUCGGCAAUGGACGAAAGUCUGACCGAGCAACGCCGCGUGAGCGAUGAAGGCCUUCGGGUCGUAAAGCUCUGUUGUCAGAGAAGAACAAGUACCGGAGUAACUGCCGGUACCUUGACGGUACCUAACCAGAAAGCCACGGCUAACUACGUGCCAGCCGCCGCCGUAAUAC